rnacentral:tRNA from 2 species
GCCCGGAUGGCGAAAUUGGUAGACGCAAGGGACUUAAAAUCCCUCGGAGGAAACUCCGUGCCGGUUCGAGUCCGGCUCCGGGCACCA